UCCCUGGUGGCUCAGCUGGUAAAGAAUCCACCUGCAAUGUGGGAGACCUGGGUUCGAUUCCUGGGUUGGGAA
rnacentral:tRNA from 1 species